AGUAGCAAAUGGGAAGGAUAUCAUGAGGUCGUUCAGUGAUGGGAAAGUCCUCGAGGAUAUGUUUGUCCAGUUUGCGAUUGAAUGCAUCAAGUACGAUGACAGGACCAAACGAUCAUUGUCGCACGGCACCCGUGUGAUUGUUGACAUGUUCACCAUGAGAGCUCUCAAUGCAGAACAUCUUCACCUCAAGGACGACCCAGAUGCUGAUUUCACGUCGCACAGGAUCAAGAAAUCACUUGAUAGAAUGCUUCCAUGUAGUGAGGCCAUGAAGAACACACAAAUGGUAUGUCCAUGCUCAGUUGCUGUUCUAUGUCCUUUUUAUACACAGUUAUAUUUAUUUGUUUUAGAACAUUUCAUGUGAUGUUGGAGGUAUUUUUGUAUAGAUCCUUGUUCCAAUGCUUCAACACAUCCACUGGGUCCUGUAAGUCGUGAAGAGAAUCAUGAAGUGUAUCCACAUCAUUGAUUCGAACCCUUACGGUAAUGAGAUGAAUUUCACAAGAUGGCAGGACUUCCACCAGCAAUCCGUAACUAUUAGGGGGGAGUCAGUGAGGUUCAACAAGCUCAUGAUGAACCGCCUCACCACAGCUCUCCAGAGGGUCCGACCAAAUUCCGGGUUCCCUAAGUUUGGGAACUGGGAAUUCAAAUUUGAGCAUGAAGCUCCCCGUAUGAAGUACGGGUCCAACGACUAUGGGUUUUUUUUAUUAAAUAUAUGCAGUCAUUCGACGCGAAACGUGGCAUAGUUGAAUGUGUCAUAGACCGGGAAAGGAGCCCUGAUCUGCGGGCAGAAAUUGCUGAAUACUUGAUUUUCCAUGACCUCAAUGAAGUAACGGAACUCCCAGAAGAGGUCACUAGGUGUCGGGCGAUGCCGUCAUGAUUUGUUUGACAAUGUUGUUGGUAUUACCAAGACCAGAGUGCCAGAGAAACUUGAAUUUAUUUAUUUUAUGCGUAGUUCUGUACUCCAGCCGCAGAAUAAUAGCCUGUUCGACAUGUUUAUGUUGACCAGGGUUUAUGGUUUGUACACUAACAAUUGUACUUUAACGGCAGGAAUUUGUGCUUAGAGCAUAGAAGAUGCGUUGUAUCAGAAUAGAUACAUCUAGUUCAGUCUCAUGUAUCUGUGUUUUCACCGUAUAAUUUGGAAGUUUUGAUUGCGUCU